rnacentral:rRNA from 1 species
AUUGAACGCUGGCGGCAGGCUUAACACAUGCAAGUCGAGCGGGGAAAGGUAGCUUGCUACCUGACCUAGCGGCGGACGGGUGAGUAAUGCUUAGGAAUCUGCCUAUUAGUGGGGGACAACAUCUCGAAAGGGAUGCUAAUACCGCAUACGUCCUACGGGAGAAAGCAGGGGACCUUCGGGCCUUGCGCUAAUAGAUGAGCCUAAGUCGGAUUAGCUAGUUGGUGGGGUAAAGGCCUACCAAGGCGACGAUCUGUAGCGGGUCUGAGAGGAUGAUCCGCCACACUGGGACUGAGACACGGCCCAGACUCCUACGGGAGGCAGCAGUGGGGAAUAUUGGACAAUGGGGGGAACCCUGAUCCAGCCAUGCCGCGUGUGUGAAGAAGGCCUUUUGGUUGUAAAGCACUUUAAGCGAGGAGGAGGCUACCGAGAUUAAUACUCUUGGAUAGUGGACGUUACUCGCAGAAUAAGCACCGGCUAACCCUGUG